UCCAUGUUGGUCAGGCUGGUCUCAAACUCCUGACCUUGUGAUCCGCCUGCCUCAGCCUCCCAAAGUGGGUGAAUCACCUGAGGUCAGGAGUUCGAGACCAGUCUGGCCAACAUGGAGAAACCCCGUCUCUACUGAAAACACAAAAAUUAGCUGGGCAUGGUGGCGGGCGCCUAUAAUCUCAGCUACUUGGGAGGCAGAGGCAGGAGAAUCAUUUAAACCCAGGAGGCGGAGGUUGCAGUGAGCCAAGAUUGCGCCAUUGCACUCCAGCCUGGGCGACAACAGCAAGACUCUGUCUUUUAAAAAAAAAAAAAUCAACUUACAAAAGGCAAAUUAGUAGGAGAAAUGGCGUACAAAUUUAUUAGCAUGCACAGGGGAGAAUCACAGAGUGAUUACCCAAUAUCCCAAUGGAGUAAGAU
rnacentral:lncRNA from 1 species